rnacentral:rRNA from 1 species
AACGUGGAGACAGGUGGUGCAUGGCUGUCGUCAGCUCGUGUCGUGAGAUGUUGGGUUAAGUCCCGCAACGAGCGCAACCCUCACCUCUUGUUGCCAUCAGGUCAUGCUGGGCACUCUAGAGGAACUGCCCCGGUCAACGGGGAGGAAGGCGGGGAUGACGUCAAGUCAUCAUGCCCCUUACGUCCUGGGCUACACACGUGCUACAAUGGCCGGUACAAAGGGAUGCCACACCGCGAGGUAGAGCUAAACCCAAAAAGCCGGUCUAAGUUCAGAUUGGAGUCUGCAACUCGACUCCAUGAAGGAGGAAUCGCUAGUAAUCGCGUAUCAGCACGACGCGGUGAAUACGUUCCCGGGCCUUGUACACACCGCCCGUCACACCACGAAAGCCUGCUGUACUCGAAGUCGCUGAG